UACGGGGGGGGCAAGCGUUGUUCGGAAUUACUGGGCGUAAAGGGCUCGUAGGCGGCCAACUAAGUCAGACGUGAAAUCCCUCGGCUUAACCGGGGAACUGCGUCUGAUACUGGAUGGCUUGAAUCCGGGAGAGGGAUGCGGAAUUCCCAGUGUAGCGGUGAAAUGCGUAGAUACUGGGAGGAACACCGGUGGCGAAGGCGGCUACCUGGACAGGUACUGACGCUGAGGCGCGAAAGCUAGGGGAGCAAACAGG
rnacentral:rRNA from 1 species